UACGGAGGGAGCUAGCGUUGUUCGGAAUUACUGGGCGUAAAGCGCACGUAGGCGGCUUUGUAAGUUAGAGGUGAAAGCCCGGGGCUCAACUCCGGAACUGCCUUUAAGACUGCAUCGCUUGAAUCCAGGAGAGGUGAGUGGAAUUCCGAGUGUAGAGGUGAAAUUCGUAGAUAUUCGGAAGAACACCAGUGGCGAAGGCGGCUCACUGGACUCGUAUUGACGCUGAGGUGCGAAAGCGUGGGGAGCAAACAGG
rnacentral:rRNA from 1 species